GAAGUCGCACAAACAAGGAAAGAAGGAUCUGUUCAGCGAGUGCAGCGAGCACAACAGAGGAUCCUGUCUCGAUCACCAGUCUGCGGUGCUCACCAUCCAGUUCUUGAAGUCAUCCUCGCAAGGCCCGAUUGCAGACGACAAAAGCUGUGAAUAUAUGCCAACAACAUCAAAUGAAACUCAUUUCUUCAACGAAGAUGAAGCGC
rnacentral:lncRNA from 1 species